GGGGAUGUUUUUGGCAUUCGAUGAGUAAUUGUUUGGACUCAACUACAGCCGAGUGAUUCUCGUAAAAAAUCAUUCAAAAUAAACGCUAACAACUUUAACUUUGGCCGCACCUACAACAACGGUGCUGUUGCCUUUGCUGCUUAAUUGAACAUUUAAUCGUUCUGCAGCUUUUCUGAACGAGUUCGCUCUCUUCUAGUUCAGAUCACUAGCACAAAGAAGAUAAGCUGACAGGCAGGACUGGACCUUUCAGACGAAAAUUCUACAGUCAAACCAUCAGGAAUUGUGUCUGUCCAAGUCUGAUGGAAUUCUGACAGACUAAGCUGUAAAUGUUGAUUCGUGGGACAUUGCUUAGACGCGAGUUCGACUCUCGCCAUCUCCACCA
rnacentral:tmRNA from 1 species